GACAGAGGGUGCAAACGUUGUUCGGAAUUACUGGGCGUAAAGCGUGCGCAGGCGGUUUUGUAAGUCAGAUGUGAAAUCCCCGGGCUUAACCUGGGAACUGCGUUUGAAACUACAAGGCUAGAGUGUGGCAGAGGGGGUGGAAUUCCACGUGUAGCAGUGAAAUGCGUAGAGAUGUGGAGGAACACCGAUGGCGAAGGCAGCCCCCUGGGUUAACACUGACGCUCAGGCACGAAAGCGUG
rnacentral:rRNA from 1 species